UGACAUCCAAAUUCCCAGCCCCUCCCCCAGAGCCCAAGAUCUGCAAAAACGCCCCAGGUCAAACCCUGGGAUGAGGCAUCCUCUACAAAAACACACUGUGUGUAAUCCUCCAAUGACUCUUGGCCAAUCCUGGGUGGAAAGGGCACCAAAGGAAGGUCCAGAUCCAGGAUCUGUUUCCUGUCCAGCUCCUAUCCCUAAGUCAGGGUGGAGCCCAGCUCAGAUGCUGGAUGAACAUUUGGGAGUCUCAAUUGUUGGGGAAAGGAUAGGUGCAGGUUUCCAGGUUCUGUCACAGACCUGGACAUUGGGCUGUUAGCACCCAUCCAGUGGAGCAAAAUGGAGAUCAGGUAAACAGGAGGGGUGGACUGCACCUAGAGGUGAGAUGGGAGCAUCUGAAGGGGCCUGCCUCAGUUCUGGUUCAGUCCCCACACUUCAGGCUACAGGCUCCAUGCGUAGGCUCUAUGUCCUUCUUACCCCUGGUGUCACAAGAACCCGGACACCCCCUAUCACCCCACUCAGUCUCAUGUACCAGUAUGUGCACAGUGGAUAGGGCUGGACCUUAUCUUCGAGAUGAUGUCAUCUCACUCCGUUCCCCACCCGGGACUCCGCCCAGGUCCCUCCCCUCCUGGCCAGGGUUGACAGGCGAAGUGGAGAGGGUCAGUCCCCAUAGACAGAAGCGAGAAGGUCGUCCUGGAGCAGCUGCACCAAGAUUGUCCAAGGUCCCUGACCCAUGUUUGCCUGGGUCUCUAUCAGAGGGCAAGGGACUUGGGAGCAAGUGAUGAAUUUGAGAACCCAGGCCCUCUUGUCUACCCAUAUACCCAGGACAGGACACCUGUGCAAGCUACCCAGGGCAGCUUAAGCAACUCCAUUUAGAACUGAGCAAGCUGACAUCCUGAGAAGUGUGAUGACAUGGUCUGAUCAUCCAGGAAAUGGUGGGAUGGGGUGUCAGGUGACAGACACUCUUCCUGGCAGCUGUUCCUCCCACACUGCAGGUGAGGCCCAUUUUCUCCUGAACUGAGGCUUUGUAUCCCAUGAGCAACCAGAGAGCAGUCCUAUUCCACAGGUCUUCUUUUUGCAGCCGCCCCCUCAAAAAGGGGUAGGGAUAGGAUGGGACGAGGUCCCCAACGCUCCCCUGACUAACUGUGCUGCUUCAGUCAUUGCCUGGACUCGUGCAUCCCCUUCUCCAACACCUCUCUCACCCUUGGGUUCUCCUGCU